AUUGAACGCUGGCGGCAUGCUUUACACAUGCAAGUCGGACGGCAGCACAGAGAUGCUUGCUUCUUGGGUGGCGAGUGGCGAACGGGUGAGUAAUAUAUCGGAACGUACCGAGUAAUGGGGGAUUACUAAUCGACAGAUUAGCUAAUACCGCAUAUUCUCUGAGGAGGAAAGCAGGUGACCUUCGUGCCUUGCGUUAUUCGAUCGGCCGAUAUCUGAUUAGUUAGUUGGUGGGGUAAAGGCCUAAAGAGGCUACGAUCAUUAUCGGGUGUGAGAGGAUGAUUCGCGACACUGGCAGUGAAGCGCCGCCUUGUCUCCUACGGGAGGCAGCAGUGGGGAAUUUUAGACAAUGGGGGCGAAUCUUAUCCAGCGCUGAGGCGUGUCAGGAGAAGGCCUUCCGCGUGUAAAGCAAUUUUGUCAGGUGUGAAAAGGCUGUUGCUAAUACCGACAGCUGAUGACGGUACCUGACGAAUAAGCACCGGCUAACUACGUG
rnacentral:rRNA from 1 species